rnacentral:rRNA from 1 species
GAUGAACGCUAGCGGCAGGCUUAAUACAUGCAAGUCGAACGGGAUUUAGGAGCUUGCUUCUAAUGAGAGUGGCGCACGGGUGAGUAACACGUACACAAUCUACCUUGUACAGGGGGAUAGCCUUGGGAAACUGAGAAUAAUACCCCAUAGUUUAAUUAUCGCAUGAUAGAUUAAAUAAAGCUGAGGCGGUACAAGAUGAGUGUGCGUUUGAUUAGCUAGUUGGUAGGGUAACGGCCUACCAAGGCGACGAUCAAUAGCUGGCGUGAGAGCGCGACCAGCCACACUGGAACUGAGACACGGUCCAGACUCCUACGGGAGGCAGCAGUAGGGAAUAUUGGACAAUGGGCGCAAGCCUGAUCCAGCCAUGCCGCGUGAUAGAUGAAGGCCCUCUGGGUUGUAAAUAUCUUUUAUCUGGGAAGAAACUCCUCUAUUCUUAGAGGCCUGACGGUACCAGAGGAAUAAGCACCGGCUAACUCCGUGCC